CAUGCAGGUUCAAAUAGGCAAAACAAUUUUGGAAAAAAAAAGGGAAAAAACAAAACAAAACAUGUUUCAGUUGAAAACUUUAGGACCUAAAGGAGACAAAUGUAUUUGCACUAAAACACAGCCAGAACGGAGAGAAAAAAACACUUAUUGCAAAGGAAUUGAUAUUGAAUAUUUAAAGAUUUUAUGAAGAAGAAUUUGUACUUGGGCCAGAAGAUUGCAUUUCUUUUCCAAUUGCUGCUAGAUAAACUAGGGAUGUGUGUUUUCAUUACAAAAGAACUCCUUGAAUUAAAAAAGUACUCAAAAAAUAAAUUAAUUAAUAAAUUAAAAAGUACUCAAAUCAGUUUACUUAAAUAGAAAAUUCCCAUAAGUGCUUGUGUUUGUGUAUGGGUAUGGGUAUAUUCUUAUAUGUGAAUAAAAGUGUUGAGAGAAGGCAAACUUAAAUGGAAGUCUGCAGAGUUGUUGAUACAUGCUCUAGCCUACAUCACUUCAUCUCUAGAAAAGCUUCAACAGCAAAGCAAAAAUCACAGAGCCACAGUUGCUGACUGGCUUAAGAAGAAGUGGGAAAACAAAGUAACAUAGUAAAAAAAUAGAAAUCAGCUACUUGAACCUGGAGGGAAGUCAAGAAUAACUAAAUACGUACAGAAAGAAAGAAAGAAAAACUGUAUUUUCUGGGUGAAAAACAAAAAGGGAAAGAUGAAAUUAGACUUCUAAUCCUUUCUCCCUUAAUAGAGAAAAAUAAAAGAAGAUGUAAUCCUUUCAACUUCCUCUGGAAAUUGCAAUGUCCGGAGACAAGGAAAUUCCAUGAUGUCAGCAGUUGAAAGAUGACACAUUACUGAUUUGAAAUGUCACUGCAAAGAAGUAAAUGAAUAAUUCAGAAUGAAAGUAAACCCUAAAAAUUGGAGAGGAAUUCCCUUAUUAACUGUGGUUCCAGCUAAAGAGCCUAGUUAUUUCAGUGAGAAAUAAAAUUUGUAAGUAUUAAUAAUGAAA